rnacentral:rRNA from 1 species
UACGUAGGGUGCAAGCGUUGUCCGGAAUUAUUGGGCGUAAAGAGCGUGUAGGCGGUCAGGUAGGUCCGUUGUGAAAACUCGAGGCUCAACCUCGAGACGCCGAUGGAAACCAUCUGACUAGAGUCCGGAAGAGGAGAGUGGAAUUCCUGGUGUAGCGGUGAAAUGCGCAGAUAUCAGGAAGAACACCCGUGGCUAAGGCGGCUCUCUAGUACGGUACUGACGCUGAGACGCGAAAGCGUGGGGAGCGAACAGG